ACACAUGCAAGUCGAACGGAAAGGCCCUUUCGGGGGUGCUCGAGUGGCGAACGGGUGAGUAACACGUGGGUGAUCUGCCCUGCACUUUGGGAUAAGCCUGGGAAACUGGGUCUAAUACCGGAUAGGACCACGGGAUGCAUGUCUUGUGGUGGAAAGCUUUUGCGGUGUGGGAUGGGCCCGCGGCCUAUCAGCUUGUUGGUGGGGUGAUGGCCUACCAAGGCGACGACGGGUAGCCGGCCUGAGAGGGUGUCCGGCCACACUGGGACUGAGAUACGGCCCAGACUCCUACGGGAGGCAGCAGUGGGGAAUAUUGCACAAUGGGCGCAAGCCUGAUGCAGCGACGCCGCGUGGGGGAUGACGGCCUUCGGGUUGUAAACCUCUUUCACCAUCGACGAAGCUGCGGGGUUUCCCGUGGUGACGGUAGGUGGAGAAGAAGCACCGGCCAACUACGUGCCAGCCGCCGCCGUAACAC
rnacentral:rRNA from 1 species